GUCUUUUCGAGGUAGGAGUCGACUCCUGUGAGGUAUGGUGCUGGGUGCAGAUGCAGUGUGGCUCUGGAUAGCACCUUAUGGACAGUUGUGUCCCCAAGGAAGGAUGAGAAUAGCUACUGAAUUGUUUCUUCCCAGGUCCUAAAGAGCAAGCCUAACUCAAGCCAUUGGCACACAGGCAUUAGACAGAAAGCUGGAAGUUGAAAUGGUGGAGUCCAACUUGCCUGGACCAGCUUAAUGGUUCUGCUCCUGGUAACGUUUUUAUCCAUGGAUGACUUGCUUGGGUAAGGACAUGAAGACAGUUCCUGUCAUACCUUUUAAAGGUAUGGAGAGUCGGCUUGACUACACUGUGUGGAGCAAGUUUUAAAGAAGCAAAGGACUCAGAAUUCAUGAUUGAAGAAAUGCAGGCAGACCUGUUAUCCUAAACUAGGGUUUUUAAUGACCACAACAAGCAAGCAUGCAGCUUACUGCUUGAAAGGGUCUUGCCUCACCCAAGCUAGAGUGCAGUGGCCUUUGAAGCUUACUACAGCCUCAAACUUCUGGGCUCAAGUGAUCCUCAGCCUCCCAGUGGUCUUUGUAGACUGCCUGAUGGAGUCUCAUGGCACAAGAAGAUUAAAACAGUGUCUCCAAUUUUAAUAAAUUUUUGCAAUCCAUCAAAAAAAAAAAAAAAAAA
rnacentral:sRNA from 1 species